UACGAAGGGGGCUAGCGUUGUUCGGAAUCACUGGGCGUAAAGCGCUCGUAGGCGGAUCUUUAAGUCAGGGGUGAAAUCCCGAGGCUCAACCUCGGAACUGCCUUUGAUACUGGGGAUCUCGAGUCCGGGAGAGGUGAGUGGAACUGCGAGUGUAGAGGUGAAAUUCGUAGAUAUUCGCAAGAACACCAGUGGCGAAGGCGGCUCACUGGCCCGGUACUGACGCUGAGGAGCGAAAGCGUGGGGAGCAAACAGGG
rnacentral:rRNA from 1 species